rnacentral:rRNA from 1 species
AUUGAACGCUGGCGGAAUGCUUUACACAUGCAAGUCGAGCGGCAGCGCGGGGGCAACCCUGGCGGCGAGCGGCGAACGGGCGAGUAAUACAUCGGAACGUGUCCUUAAGUGGGGGAUAGCUCGGCGAAAGCCGGAUUAAUACCGCAUAAGCUCUGAGGAGGAAAGCGGGGGCUCCGUAAGGACCUCGCGCUGUUGGAGCGGCCGAUGUCGGAUUAGCUAGUUGGUGGGGUAAAGGCCACCAAGGCGACGAUCCGUAGCUGGUCUGAGAGGAUGAUCAGCCACACUGGAACUGAGACACGGUCCAGACUCCUACGGGAGGCAGCAGUGGGGAAUUUUGGACAAUGGGGGCAACCCUGAUCCAGCCAUUCCGCGUGAGUGAAGAAGGCCUC